CAUGGCCAGACACUGGCAUAGUCACUCAGAGUUCUGUCCUCCAGUUAGCUGUAGGCAGUGUUGUGGAACAGCAGCAGACAGAGCACUGUUUCUGAGAUGGCAGCACACACUGAUUCCAGGGUGCCUCUAUGCAUGUACAAAGGUCUUCAGGAUUUUCUUGUCUUCGAAUGUUUAUUUGGUUGGGGUUUUUUCCCACCACCUGUUGUGACAAAACUGCAAGAGAGAGGACAUGACACACAGCAAAUAAAAUGUACCAAGAAUCAACCUGAGGAAUCAGAGAAUCUCGGAAUGGCUGGGCUUGGAAAGGACACCUUGAGAUCCUAGCUGGAUUAGAUAACUAGUCCAAUCUCCCUGCUCAAGCAGACUAACCUACAUCAGGUUGCAGAGGAUUGUGGCCAAGAGGGUUGCAAAUAUCUCCAGGGAAGGAAACUCUACAGUGUCACAGGGCAGGCAGU